UACAGAGGUCUCAAGCGUUGUUCGGAUUUAUUGGGCGUAAAGGGUGCGUAGGCGGCGCGGUAAGUCGGGUGUGAAAUCUCGGAGCUUAACUCCGAAACUGCAUUCGAUACUGCCGUGCUUGAGGACUGGAGAGGAGACUGGAAUUUACGGUGUAGCGGUGAAAUGCGUAGAUAUCGUAAGGAAGACCAGUGGCGAAGGCGGGUCUCUGGACAGUUCCUGACGCUGAGGCACGAAAGCGUGGGGAGCAAACAGG
rnacentral:rRNA from 1 species